UAGGGAAUAUUGGACAAUGGGCGCAAGCCUGAUCCAGCCAUGCCGCGUGAGUGAAGAAGGCCCUCGGGUUGUAAAGCUCUUUUGUCCGGAAAGAAAAGCAUUCGGUUAAUACCCGGGUGUUCUGACGGUACCGGAAGAAUAAGCACCGGCUAACUUCGUGCCAGCAGCCGCGGUAAUACGAAGGGUGCAAGCGUUACUCGGAAUUACUGGGCGUAAAGCGUGCGUAGGUGGUUUGUUAAGUCUGAUGUGAAAGCCCUGGGCUCAACCUGGGAAUUGCAUUGGAUACUGGCAAGCUAGAGUGCGGCAGAGGGUAGUGGAAUUCCUGGUGUAGCAGUGAAAUGCGUAGAGAUCAGGAGGAACAUCCGUGGCGAAGGCGACUGCCUGGGCCAGCACUGACACUGAGGCACGAAAGCGUGGGGAGCAAACA
rnacentral:rRNA from 1 species